UACAAUAAUUAUUUUCGUUAUCCACAGACACUUACACACAAUUUGAAAUGACUAUAAAAACCUGCCAAGUUGGACACUAAAAUUAUCAUUUUCAAAUCGAAACUCUCGCAGUAUACUGUAUCAUCAAAUGAUUCAGCAAUCAUGAAGAUUUUCCACUACUUAGUAUUUUUCGUCGUAAUGCUGACUAUUGGGUACAAUACAGGAGUAAAUGCUGUAGCACGAGUUAAAAAACGUUCUCCUGAAGAACCAUGCCCAAAUCCAGAUUGCAAUCAGUGAAUGAAAAAUUAAAGUUAUUGAAAUUAACAUACAUUAAAAAAUGUAAUAGUUAGAAAAAAAUAAUUUGAUGUAAUAAAUACAUGAAUUAUUAAACAAA